GCGAGAUAGACCUGGAGAACUCCAACACUAAUGGGCUCUCUGCUCCGGAAGGAUGUCGCCAGGAACUUUCCCUCACCUAUGAUGUGUCUGGGCCUGCGGGAUGUCCAGGAAAGGCUGGAGCGGAUGCCCUCUAGUUGGCUGUGUUUAUUCUGGAUCAGGGGCUGUAGUUCAUUGCUUCUCAGCAUCUAUUCCUCUCCUCCCUUCCUAAUAGGAACCUAAACCUCUUCGCCACACAGUUUGUGUGGGCUCUGGGGUGGCUAUGGACAAUC